rnacentral:lncRNA from 1 species
UGCUAUGAUUAAAUGGGCACAAGAUGUUGGACAUAACAUAAUGAUGGCUGACUGGGAACAGUUAUGGACCACAGGUAUGAAGUUUACGGCAUGCAAUGCCUUAAGAGAGAAUAUUAUGAAAAUGAUAUACAGGUGGUACAUGACCCCAGUCAAGCUUGCAAAAAUCUAUCAUUUGCCCGACAAUAAAUGCUGGAAAUGUAAAGAAACUGGAGGUACAUUCUUUCACCUUUGGUGGACGUGCCCAAGGAUUAAGGCUUUCUGGGAAAUGAUAUAUAAUGAACUGAAAAAGGUAUUUAAACAUACCUUCUUGAAGAAACCAGAGGCCUUUCUCCUGGGCAUAGUCGGCCAAUUGGUGCCAAAGAAGGACAGAACUUUUUUUAUGUAUGCCACAACAGCAGCAAGAAUACUCAUUGCAAAGUAUUGGAAGAUACAAGAUUUACCCACUUUGGAAGAAUGGCAGAUGAAGCUGAUGGACUAUAUGGAACUGGCAGAAAUGACUGGCAGAAUCCGAGACCAGGGAGAAGAGUCGGUGGAAGAAGAUUGGAAGAAAUUCAAAGAUUAUCUACAGAAAUAUUGUAAAAUUAAUGAAUGUUAGAAUGAUGUUGGAUAGUAAUUAAGUGGUUUCCAGCUGUAAUGCUUUAAGGGAAUAUGAAAAAAGGGUUAUAAAUAGCCAAAAAUCAAAUAUUAUUACUUUUAAAGGAUUUGCUGAACCAACAGAUUGAAGUGGAAUACAAAAAAGGGAGGUAUGAGGAGGUCCGGGAAAUAAGUCAAAGGAAAAUAAGUAAUGGAAAAUCUGUGUGUUUUUAACUAUUUUUAUUUUGUACUUUUGUUAUUUUUUUUUCCUUUUCAUUUUUAUUGUAAUAUUUUAAAAAAAUCUUAAUAAAUAUCUUAU